GUCUCCGGCCAUGCCACCCUGAAUAAGCCGGAUCCCGUCUGAUCUCAGAAGCUAAGCAGGGUCGGGCCUGGUUAGUACUCGGAUGGGAGACCACCUAGGAUGAUCAGGUACAGUCGGCG
rnacentral:rRNA from 1 species